GCCUGGGUGGCUCAGUUGGUUAAGCAUCUGACUUCAGCUCAGGUCAUGAUCUCACAGUUCGUGGGUUUGAGCCCCAUGUCGGGCU
rnacentral:tRNA from 1 species